CUGGACACGAGUUAGUUUGGUUGAGCAGUAUUAUAAACAUUAGGAUAUAUCUCCACACUGAUAAUAGCAGCGCUUUGGGCAACAUGGACACCCAUGCUCUCAAGCUGAGUGUGAAGA